UGGGGAAUAUUGGACAAUGGGCGCAAGCCUGAUCCAGCCAUGCCGCGUGAGUGAUGAAGGCCUUCGGGUUGUAAAGCUCUUUUGGCGGAGAUGAUAAUGACAGUAUCCGCAGAAUAAGCCCCGGCUAACUUCGUGCCAGCAGCCGCGGUAAUACGAAGGGGGCGAGCAUUGUUCGGAAUUACUGGGCGUAAAGGGUGCGUAGGCGGUUUGAUAAGUCAGAUGUGAAAGCCCAGGGCUUAACCCUGGAACUGCAUUUGAAACUAUCAGACUAGAGUGAUGGAGAGGAGAACAGAAUUCCCAGUGUAGAGGUGAAAUUCGUAGAUAUUGGGAGGAAUACCAGUGGCGUAGGCGGUUCUCUGGCCAUAUACUGACGCUGAGGCACGAAAGCGUGGGGAGCAAA
rnacentral:rRNA from 1 species